GAUGAACGCUGGCGGCGUGCUUAACACAUGCAAGUCGAACGAAGCUGUUAAAAGGAAGUCUUCGGAUGGAAUUUUAACAGACUUAGUGGCGGACGGGUGAGUAACGCGUGGAUAACCUGCCUUAUACAGGGGGAUAACGGAGAGAAAUUUCCGCUAAGACCGCAUAAGACCACAGCACCGCAUGGUGCAGGGGUAAAAUAUUAAUAGGUAUAAGAUGGAUCCGCGUCCGAUUAGCUAGUUGGUGAGGUAGAGGCUCACCAAGGCGACGAUCGGUAGCCGGCCUGAGAGGGUGAACGGCCACAUUGGGACUGAGACACGGCCCAAACUCCUACGGGAGGCAGCAGUGGGGAAUAUUGGACAAUGGGGGAAACCCUGAUCCCAGCGACGCCGCGUGAGUGAAGAAGUAUUUCGGUAUGUAAAACUCUAUCAGCAGGGAAGAAAAUGACGUAC
rnacentral:rRNA from 1 species